rnacentral:tRNA from 1 species
GUGACCAUAGCUCAGCUGGUAGAGCGCCUGACUGUGGAUCAGGCGGCCGCGGGUUCAAAGCCCGCUGGUCACCCCA